rnacentral:rRNA from 1 species
UAUAUUCUGUAGCAAGGUUAACCGAAUAGGGGAGCCGGAGGGAAACCGAGUCUUAACUGGGCGUUAAGUUGCAGGGUAUAGACCCG